rnacentral:SRP_RNA from 12 species
GUCCUCGGCGGCAAGACCUCGUCAACCGCCUCAGGGUCGGCAUG